UACUGUACUGUGAUAGCUGG
rnacentral:miRNA from 1 species